CUUUAGUAAUUGCGAAUGAACAAGGAUAUGCUUAGCUUGACAAAUGGAGCUAUUGGCUUUGAAUUGUAUUGUGGAAAUGUAUUACCAACAGAGGUGCAGGUGCCAGCCUAUUGAAAUAAAGCGUCAAUGAGGGUGAGAAUCCUGUUUGUCAUGUGCAGCCCUUUGUGCACGGUGUAUAUUUGCUGAGUCACACUCCUUGGCAUUGGAAUGCAAAGUGGGUGGUAAGUUUCAUGUAAAGGUAAACAUGCAAUUGAGACUGAUAGCACACAAGUACCAUGAGGGAAAUAUGAAAAGGACUUUGAAAAGAGAAUUAAAUGAGUUUGUAUUUGCUGAACACAAAGUAAACAGACUUGAUUUGCUUGGUGGGAGUGUUGCACUUGCUUGACAAGAGCUUUGGGCUGUGGGUGUAAUGAUUCUUUCUUUGCAUGCCAGUUUCUAUUUGUACAUCUGAUUACCUUUGCACAUGAAUGAUAAGUCUCCUGUGGGGGGUGGAUUGCAUGUGCAUGUAAUGAUUUGUGUUUUGAUAAAUGUGUCUGGUGUAUGUGUGUGUUCCUGUGCUUGGGGAUGCUUCCUUCCUUGGACUUACAAGCCCUGACACACACAUGCUGGCAAAAUGCUUCUGCUUGACCCGUCUUGAAACACGGACCAAGGAGUCUAACAGAUGUGCAAAGUUUGAAGGUGGUAUACCUUUGUGUGCAAUGAAAGUGUCAGCUGGGAUAUGUGCACCAGCACCCAAUUAAUUAGCGGACAGAGGUUUGAGUUGGAGCAUAUCUAUUAGGACCCGAAAGAUGGUGAACUAUGCCUGAACAGAAUGAAUUCAGAGGAAACUCUGAUGGAGGUUCGUAUCGAUACUGACGUGCAAAUCGUUCGUCAUAUUUGGGUAUAGGGGCGAAAGACUAAUCGAACCAUCUAGUAGCUGGUUCCCUCCGAAGUUUCCCUCAGGAUAGCUGGAGUUGCUCAGUUUUAUCAGGUAAAGCGAAUGAUUAGAGGAAUUGGGGACAGGUUUGUCUUUGACCUAUUCUCAAACUUU
rnacentral:rRNA from 1 species